rnacentral:rRNA from 1 species
AACUUUCAACAACGGAUCUCUUGGUUCUGGCAUCGAUG